rnacentral:tRNA from 1 species
CAGGGAAUAUUUUAUUAGAAUAUUAAUUUUGGGGAUUAAUGGAGGAUAUUUAAUAUAUUCUUCUCUGA